AAGUCGUAACAAGGUUUCCGUAGGUGAACCUGCGGAAGGAUCAUUAGUGAAUUUUAGGGUGCUCUCUCUUUUAACAAGAGUAGAGACCUGACCUCCACUCUCUAACACUGUGCACUUUUCGACAAAGGAAAUUAGGCCUCUAGGUCUGAUGGAAUUUGUGGCUUCAUUUUUAACACUAGUCAAAGAAUGUAAAAAAACCAUAACUAAAAAAAACUUUCAACAACGGAUCUCUUGGCUCUC
rnacentral:misc_RNA from 1 species